rnacentral:rRNA from 1 species
AUGUCGCUCAUCCGCUACUUGCCGUCGCCGUAUCUUCCCCUCCCCUCUGCCGCGGUCCGCCGCCGUGGAUUCCUCCGCUCCGCCGCGCCAUCCGGUGCCCGUGCCGCCGCUGUCCAUGUCCUCGCCGCGAACCGCGUCGUGCUGGGGUGCGGGCUGGUGACGCUGGACUACCUGGCCACGGUGGACGCGUACCCGCGGCCCGACGACAAGAUCCGCAGCGGGGAGCUGCAGAUAUCGGGAGGCGGGAACGCCGGGAACGCAUUGACAGGCGCUGCUCGUCUGGGCCUCAACACAAGGCUCAUCUCCAAGGUGGCCAACGAUGAAAUAGGAGGAACUGUUCUUUCGGAACUCGAGGAAGCUGGGAUUGACGUGUCACAUGUUAUAAUCUCUGAUGGUGGAAACACAACAUUUGUUUAUGUCAUUAUUGAUAAGAAAACGAAAACCCGAACAUGUAUAAUCACGUCAGGCUACCCUCCAAUGGUUCCUGGUGACAUAUCAGUGUCAAAUUUGUCAGCUGCACUACAAGAUGUUAACUUGCUAUACCUAGACGGAUAUUCACAUGAAAUGGCACUAUCUGUUGGUAAGCAGGCUGAUCUAAUGAAGAUCCCAAUACUGGUUGAUGCGGAACCAGAAAGAACAAAGACAGAACUGGGGCAUCUGCUCGACCUAUCGAGUUACAUUGUCUGUUCGGGUAAAUUUCCAGAGAAAUGGACAUCAAUUUCCUGCAUUCCUUCUGCACUACUAGAGAUCCUUGUGCAAUAUCCCCGUGCGAGGUUCGUCAUUGCAACCCUUGGAGAAAACGGGUGCAUGAUGCUUGAGAGGAUCGAAGGAACAGAUGAUUCUGGAAUAGAUGCGGUAGAUAUUGGGAAUGUUGCUGAGUCCUUAAGGCUUAAAGUGCAUAAAGAUGACAAUCUGCCAACUUGUGUAUCAUCCAAGUUCAUGAGACUCUCUGGAAGAGGGCAUGGGACUAUACACGGAAGAUUGCUCAUAGGAACAGCAGAAAAAAUCCCCGCUCCAGAGCUUGUUGACACCACCGGUUGUGGCGAUGCGUUCAUAGGAGCAGUGCUCUACGGGCUGUGCACAGAGAUGGCUCCGGAAAAGAUGCUGCCUUUUGCCUGUCAAGUGGCAGGCAUCAAAUGCAGAGCCAUCGGCGCGCGCACCGACCUACCGUGGCGAUCCGAUGCCCGCUUGUCCAAGUACUUGCGUGAGGCACCCUGA